CCAGGUUCCAGUAACUACUACCUAUGUAUUUGUCCUGGUUCCAGUAACUACUACCUAUGUAUGUGUCCAGGUUCCAGUAACUACUACCUAUGUAUUUGUCCUGGUUCCAGUAACUACUACCUAUGUAUGUGUCCAGGUUCCAGUAACUACUACCUAUGUAUUUGUCCUGG